UAAGUAAGUGGUGGAAAUUAAACCAAAUGGGAUAUCUUUAGUAAUUGCGAAUGAACAAGGAUAUGCUUAGCUUGACAAAUGGAGCUAUUGGCUUUGAAUUGUAUUGUGGAAAUGUAUUACCAACAGAGGUGCAGGUGCCAGCCUAUUGAAAUAAAGCGUCAAUGAGGGUGAGAAUCCUGUUUGUCAUGUGCAGCCCUUUGUGCACGGUGUACAUUUGCUGAGUCACACUCCUUGGCAUUGGAAUGCAAAGUGGGUGGUAAGUUUCAUGUAAAGGUAAACAUGCAAUUGAGACUGAUAGCACACAAGUACCAUGAGGGAAAUAUGAAAAGGACUUUGAAAAGAGAAUUAAAUGAGUUUGUAUUUGCUGAACACAAAGUAAACAGACUUGAUUUGCUUGGUGGGAGUGUUGCACUUGCUUGACAAGAGCUUUGGGCUGUGGGUGUAAUGAUUCUUUCUUUGCAUGCCAGUUUCUAUUUGUACAUCUGAUUACCUUUGCACAUGAAUGAUAAGUCUCCUGUGGGGGGUGGAUUGCAUGUGCAUGUAAUGAUUUGUGUUUUGAUAAAUGCGUCUGGUGUAUGUGUGUGUUCCUGUGCUUGGGGAUGCUUCCUUCCUUGGACUUACAAGCCCUGACACACACAUGCUGGCAAAAUGCUUCUGCUUGACCCG
rnacentral:rRNA from 1 species